rnacentral:lncRNA from 14 species
CUCAUACCAACAGAGGCCGCCCAGCGCCCGCAACGCAAGCCCGUUCCGAGAAUUCCACCCUGCGCCGCUCACACGCUCCACAUCCCCACUCUAUGAAAGGAACCAGACAAUUGGUGGCGAAAGCCGGGUAAAAGGUGAAAGGUUCACAAAGCAGCCAAUGGGAUAGCGGGAUACAGCACAACAGGGGAGCAGCCGGGUGGUCCAGAGGCUCACGUGUGUGCGCACUCCCUUCCCCCCACCGGAGGACUGCCAGCCUCUCGGUCCCAGCCUCUCGGUCCCCGCCGCUAUCCCCGCGCACGCGCUGGGGCUGGUCUCGCGAGCGUGGGAGCGGCUGGCGGCAGCUCUGAGGCGGUGGCGGCUGUACCCGCCAUCUUGGGGGGAGGGGUGUGGAGUUGCCGGGGCCGCCUCCCAAGGCAAAGCUCUUCCCACGGAGGCAAAAGUUAAACAGCUAAUGUAGGAUAACUCUUUUCUGCCGUCAAACCCGUCAGCCACAGAUGGAAGACAUGGUGCCAAAACAGGGCAACAUAAUUCUCUUAUGCCUCUAAUGCUGCCAUUUUCCAGCUUUUAUUUUCAUUACAGCUGACGUAAAAGUCAGGAAGCUGCGUCUUUAGGAAACUGGAGAAAUGUAAGACAAUGAGAAAAGGCUCUUAAAAGACUGCUGUGCAACACCUGAUGUUCAGGUGUAAGUGUGAAUAACUGGUCACCAAGGUAGGACAUAAGGCUGGAGUGAAUCAGUUUACAAGAACUAGCACAUGUGGAGGUACCUUAUAGGAUUUUUAAAUUCCAAUCUCAGUUAAUUCUAAUUCCAUCAUUCCCACCUCCCAUGGCAUCACCUACCAACAUCAUUCUCUUUGUGACUGGUGAGAAGACCGAACCCUCCUCACAGAGAUGUAGCAAAUAACCAAACCUGCAGACUUGCUUACUGCAUGACUUGGAUCCAUAACCACAGGCUGGACUAGAUAGAUGCUGUGGGCAAGCAAUGAAAUGGGUAAUUCUCGAAAAUGUGGAGUUUGAAAUCACAUAAAAAAGGUAAGACAUUACCUGGACAUGUGCAAGACAAUGUCCCACACAACAUCCUUGUCUCUAAACUGGAGAGGCAUGGAAUUAAUGAAUAGACCACUCGAUGGAUAAGGAAGUGCCUUGAUAGUCACAUCUAGAGAAUUGUGGACAAUGACUCGAUGCCCAGGUGAUGCCAGUGACAAGCAGCGUCAAGGUCUGUACUGGCCCUUUGUUGGCAAGAUGGGCAGUGUGAUUGAUUGUGUCUUAGCAAGUUUGCUAAUGACACCA